rnacentral:rRNA from 1 species
UACGUAGGGGGCAAGCGUUGUCCGGAAUUAUUGGGCGUAAAGAGCGUGUAGGCGGUUCGAUCAGUCCGCUGUGAAAGUCCAGGGCUCAACCCUGGAAAGCCGGUGGAUACUGUCGGGCUAGAAUCCGGAAGAGGCGAGUGGAAUUCCUGGUGUAGCGGUGAAAUGCGCAGAUAUCAGGAGGAACACCGGUGGCGAAGGCGGGUCUCUGGGCCGAUACUGACGCUGAGGAGCGAAAGCGUGGGGAGCGAACAGG